rnacentral:rRNA from 1 species
GACGAACGCUGGCGGCGUGCUUAACACAUGCAAGUCGAACGAUGAAGCGGUGCUUGCACCGUGGUUUAGUGGCGAACGGGUGAGUAAUACGUGAGUGACCUACCUUUGACUCUGGGAUAAGCCUGGGAAACUGGGUCUAAUACCGGAUACGACCAAUCUCUGCAUGGGGUGUUGGUGGAAAGCGUUAUGGCGUGGUUUUAGAUGGGCUCACGGCCUAUCAGCUUGUUGGUGAGGUAAUGGCUUACCAAGGCGACGACGGGUAGCCGGCCUGAGAGGGUGAGCGGCCACACUGGGACUGAGACACGGCCCAGACUCCUACGGGAGGCAGCAGUGGGGAAUAUUGCACAAUGGGCGCAAGCCUGAUGCAGCGACGCCGCGUGAGGGAUGACGGCCUUCGGGUUGUAAACCUCUGUUAGCAUCGAAGAAGCGAAAGUGACGGUAGGUGCAGAGAAAGCGCCGGCUAACUACGUG